rnacentral:rRNA from 1 species
UACGGAGGGGGCUAGCGUUGUUCGGAAUUACUGGGCGUAAAGCGCACGUAGGCGGCUUUGUAAGUUAGAGGUGAAAGCCCAGGGCUUAACCCUGGAAUUGCCUUUAAGACUGCAUCGCUAGAAUCGUGGAGAGGUGAGUGGAAUUCCGAGUGUAGAGGUGAAAUUCGUAGAUAUUGGGAAGAACACCAGUGGCGAAGGCGGCUCACUGGCCCGUAACUGACGCUGAGGUGCGAAAGCGUGGGGAGCAAACAGG